rnacentral:rRNA from 1 species
GCGCCUACGGGACGCAGCAGUGGGGAAUAUUGCACAAUGGGGGAAACCCUGAUGCAGCGGCGCCGCGUGAGUGAAGAAGUAAUUCGUUAUGUAAAGCUCUAUCAGCAGGGAAGAAAGUGACGGUACCUGAGUAAGAAGCCCCGGCUAACUACGUGCCAGCAGCCGCGGUAAUACGUAGGGGGCAAGCGUUAUCCGGAUUUACUGGGUGUAAAGGGAGCGUAGACGGCAGUGCAAGUCUGGAGUGAAAGGCGGGGGCU